rnacentral:rRNA from 1 species
GACGAACGCUGGCGGCGUGCUUAACACAUGCAAGUCGAACGGAAAGGCCCUGCUUUUGUGUGGUUCUCGAUUGGCGAACGGGUGAGUAACACGUGAGUAACCUGCCCUUGUCUUUGUGAUAACUUCAGGAAACUGGGGCUAAUACCGGAUAUGAUCUCCUGCUGCAUGUUGGGGGUUGGAAAGUUUCGGCGGUUGGGGAUGGACUCGCUGCUUAUCAGCUUGUUGGUGGGGUAGUGGCUUACAAAGGGUUUGACGGGUAGCCGGCCUGAGAGGGUGACCGGCGACAUUGGGACUGAGAUAGGGCCCAGACUCCUAUGGGAGGCAGCAGUGGGGAAUAUUGCACAAUGGGGGGAAGUCUGAUGCAGAAACGCCGCGUGCGGGAUGACGGGGUUCGGGUUGUAAACCGAUUUCGACUGUGACGAAGAGUGAGUGACGGUAAUGGGUAAAGAAGCACCGGCUAACUACGUG